CGCGAUAUUAUUCCUGUGAAUUU
rnacentral:miRNA from 12 species